rnacentral:rRNA from 1 species
UGUCUUCUAAAUAAAGACCAGUAUGAACGGCUAAAUGAGGACAAACCUGUCUCUUGCAACCAAUCAGUGAAACUGAUCUCCCGGUCCAAAAGCCGGGAUAACCCCAUAAGACGAGAAGACCCUGUGGAGCUUGAAACAAGCUACUAUGCACCACACAAGCUGCAACUAGUAGGCAGUUUUAAGUUGGGGCGACUUCGGAACCAAAAAAAACUUCCGAGCACAGAACCACCCACUCUUACCAAGACUAACAAGUCAAAGUCAAAAACGACCCAGUAACACUGAUCAACGAACCAAGUUACCCCAGGGAUAACAGCGCCAUCUUCUUCAAGAGUUCAUAUCGACAAGAAGGUUUACGACCUCGAUGUUGGAUCAGGACACCCCAAUGGUGCAGCCGCUAUUAAAGGUUCGUUUGUUCAACGAUUAAUAGU